rnacentral:lncRNA from 1 species
AUGUUUGGAGAAGACUACAGUAUUCUGCAAACUGUGGUGGCAAAGCUUUCCUCAGCACCCAUCUUUGAGGACUGUGUGCCAGAACAGAGCCCCUCCAAUCUCCUGAAGUCAAACUUGGCUUUCCAGGCUAAUCCCCGCUGCUCUGGCACCUUGCAUAAAGAUAAAGGAGGACUUCUUAAAGCCCGGAAAAAUCAAGUUCUCCUUGGGGCAUGCUCUGAGCAUGGCAGUGUCACCGUGUGCAGGACGACCAGUCCCUAGAUGUGCAUGACAAUACCGCUGUUACACACCACAGGGAAGAGAGCGACUCUGCGGCGAAACGUGGUGAUGCUUCAUGUGCGGGAGGACGGAGGCUGAGCCUGUCAGCAUCUCCUGGAGGCCUUUCAGUUGUGCAGGUAAAACUGAAUUUUUUUAUGCCUUUCAGGCUGCUGGGAGAGGAGU